UACCUGCAGCCCUGCGGGCUCGGCGCGCCCUCCAGACCCCAGCGCUCGCGCCGCCCUCUCCCCGCCGCUGAGCGAGUAAACCCGGGAAAAGCAUCCGGCGGCCUCAGGGAGCCCUAAAGAAGCCGAAGCAGAAUGUACCAGGGACACAUGCAGGAUGUAAGAGGACGCCAUGCUUGCGUGAUGAUACGAAGCAAUGUGACUGACAAGGCAUCUGUGACAUCAUAUUUUGCUAUCACCAGAGGGUUUACCUGAACACAAGGUGAAACUGUGACAGUGGAUCUGAUAACUGUUAAACUCUUAGUGACGAACAGGCAGGUGGUGAAUACAGCAUUGGACAAAAGGAUGCCGAAGAGGCUGAGGACAGAAAGGCACGGCACAAGAUUUCAUUCAAAAUUUAUAAAUUGUUUAUUCCUGGAAAUUUCCAUUUAAUAUUUUCAGACCAUAGUUGACUAUGUAAUCGACAGUGAGGAGAAAAAAGCUGCAGAUAAGGGAGG
rnacentral:lncRNA from 1 species